AAAAAAAGUCAUAGUAUAGUAUGUCAAAAAAAUGUCAGUUAAAAUAUGCCGAAAAAAAAGUCAGUUUAGUAUGUUGAAAAUCAUAAAGAAAGUUAUAGUAUAGUAUGUGUCGAUUACUUUAAUGCUUAAUCAUUCAAUGUAUAAACUGUCCAUCAUAAGCUGCUUCCUUUGUUACUACAGCAAAAAAAAAA